AGAGUUCUUUUUUGAUUUGGUGGAUGGUGGUGCAUGUCCGUCCUUAGUCGGUGAAGCGAUUUGUCCGGUUAAUUCUUGUAACGAACGAAACUUUAGCCUAUUAAAUAGGUGCGUUGUUCUCUGCACCUUGCACCCUUCCUAGAGGGACAAGCGGCUCAUAGACGCACGAAACAGAGCAAUAACAGGUCUGUGAUGCCCUUAGAUGUCCGGGGCCGCACGAGCGAUACACUGAAGAAAGCAGCGUGUUUUUAUCUCUGUCUGUUAAGACAGUAAGCUUAGAAAAAAGCGGCUUGAGCAAACACAGAGG
rnacentral:ncRNA from 1 species